UACGAAGGGAGCUAGCGUUGUUCGGAAUCACUGGGCGUAAAGCGUGCGUAGGCGGCUUCUCAAGUCAGGGGUGAAAUCCCACAGCUUAACUGUGGAACUGCCUUUGAAACUGAGAGGCUAGAAUGUGAGAGGGGAUGGCGGAAUUCCUAAUGUAGAGGUGAAAUUCGUAGAUAUUAGGAGGAACACCCGUGGCGAAAGCGGCUAUCUGGAUCACAAUUGACGCUGAUGUACGAAAGCGUGGGUAGCAAACAGG
rnacentral:rRNA from 1 species